AUGGCAUCCUCGAGAAGGUUGCUGGCGGUGGCUUUGCUGGCGAUGCUGGUCGCCGGCGCUUGGUGCGCGGCCCCGGUGACAUUCACGGUGGAGAAGGGGUCGGACACGGGGUCAGGCAAGAAGCAGCUGGCGGUGCUGGUGAGUUACGACAUGCCAGGCGACACCAUGUCGGAGCUGGAGAUCAUGCAGCACGACGCCGACGACUGGGUGGCCAUGACCAAGGGCGAGGGCGGCCUGUGGACCUUCGAGAGCGCCGAUCCGCUCGUGGGCCCCUUCAACUUCCGCUACUUCACUAAGAAAGGCUUGAAGAACGUCUACGACAACGUCAUCCCCGACAACUACACCAUCGGCACCACCUAUACACCUCAAGGGUAG
rnacentral:rRNA from 1 species